rnacentral:rRNA from 1 species
CCUACGGGAGGCAGCAGUCGAGAAUCAUUCACAAUGGGGGAAACCCUGAUGGUGCGACGCCGCGUGGGUGAAUGAAGGUCUUCGGAUUGUAAAUCCCUGCCAUGUGGGAGCAAGUGACAAAGAUAAUACCACAAGAGGAAGAGGCGGCUAACACUGUGCCAGCAGCCGCGGUACUACAGAGGUGUCAAGCGUUGAUCGGAAUCGCUGGGCGUAAAGCGUGCGUAGGCUGUUGCGUGAGUCGUGUGUGAAAGGCGCGGGCUUAACCCGCGGACUGCACAUGAUACUGCGAGACUAGAGUAAUGUAGAGGGAACCAGAAGUCUAGGUGUAGCAGUGAAAUGCGUAGAGAUGGGGAGGAACACUCGUGGCGAAGGCGGGUCCCUGGACAAAGACUGACGCUGAGGCACGAAGGCCAGGGGAGCGAACGGGAUUAGAUACCCCUGUAGUC